rnacentral:rRNA from 1 species
UACGUAGGGUGCAAGCGUUGUCCGGAAUUAUUGGGCGUAAAGAGCUCGUAGGCGGUCUGUCGCGUCGGCUGUGAAAACCCGGGGCUCAACCCCGGGCCUGCAGUCGAUACGGGCAGACUAGAGUGCGGUAGGGGAGACUGGAAUUCCUGGUGUAGCGGUGAAAUGCGCAGAUAUAGGAGGAACACCGGUGGCGAAGGCGGGUCUCUGGGCCGAUACUGACGCUGAGGAGCGAAAGCGUGGGGAGCGAACAGG